rnacentral:rRNA from 1 species
UACGUAGGGUGCGAGCGUUAAUCGGAAUUACUGGGCGUACAGCGUGCGCAGGCGGUUCGUCGUGUCCGAUGUGAAAGCCCCGGGCUCAACCUGGGAAUGGCAUUGGAAACUGGCGGACUCGAGUGUGGCAGAGGGGGGUGGAAUUCCGCGUGUAGCAGUGAAAUGCGUAGAUAUGCGGAGGAACACCGAUGGCGAAGGCAAUCCCCUGGGCCUGCACUGACGCUCAUGCACGAAAGCGUGGGGAGCAAACAGG